UACGUAGGGUGCAAGCGUUGUCCGGAAUUAUUGGGCGUAAAGAGCUCGUAGGCGGUCUGUCGCGUCGGAUGUGAAAACCCAGGGCUCAACCCUGGGCCUGCAUUCGAUACGGGCAGACUAGAGUUCGGUAGGGGAGACUGGAAUUCCCGGUGUAGCGGUGAAAUGCGCAGAUAUCGGGAGGAACACCAGUAGCGAAGGCGGCACUCUGGGCCGGUACUGACGCUGAGGAGCGAAAGCGUGGGGAGCGAACAGG
rnacentral:rRNA from 1 species